CAAGGAAUAACCCUUCUUCAACUUUGUUAUCUUCUUUUGGUAUGGUAAUUAGUGAUUGUAAAUCUCUUGCAUUUGAGAUUUUUACAGUCUCUUUUCAGUGUGUUAGGAGAUCUGCGAAUGGAGUUACUUAUGUUUUAGUCCAGACAUUUCGUUCUUUGCCAGGUUCUAUGAGGUGGUUUGUUUUACCACCUUCUUUUAUUGUUGAUGCUUUGUCUUUUAUUUUGCACUAAUGGAUAAGCUCCUUUUAAACAAAAAAUAAAGGAAAAAGAAGUUUCAGAAAUAGCAGAAAAUAUAUCAUGUGAGAUUGGAAUAUGAGAGUGAAUUCUGAUUGCUAGAAGGAGCAACCAAAUACACCUUCUCCCUCUAGUUUUCUAGAGAGAGAUUUUUUCUCUGAAUCUUUCUGGUUUUUGGAGCUUAGUCUUCUCUCCUGCCGACCAGUCAAUCUCCCUUGCCCCUUUCGAGCAGGGGAUCUUCUUCCUCACUGCCCGGAGUGUGGGUUCCUCCACACCUCCAGAUGGAGGUCAGAGAUGCUUUUCUUUCACAGACGUGCCUCAAAUGGUUAUCUCAGUGACAUUCGCUACGCCCCUCUGGUGGGUUGCUCCGGUCUCUGAGCUCUGCUUCCAUCUUGUUCUUAUCAAAGUUGGUUAAGGUGUUGAGAUUGAGAUCCUGUGUUGUGCUGUCGUCGAUGCUUUUGAUCUGAUCUCACCAUCAUAGGAGUAGUGUGUUUGGUUGCUAUCCCUCUACUUCUCUUGAAGUUGCGUUUGAGGCUGUUGGGGAAUAGUUUUUGGCCGCUGAUGAUGGUUUCUUUAGGUUGCUACGGCAUUGUGGUUUCCUAACGAAGUGAAACUGUUGGCUUGUUUAUUAGGGCUUUACGCUUUUUGUUAAGGAUGGGUUGGGCUUGGUGUUGGUUAGGGUUGUAAUCUGUUUAUCUUUGAACAUGAUGUAAUGGAUUUUAACUUUUUUUUAA